GAGGUGCACCCUUUGUGUGGGCUGAGUCCAGUAAAUGACCUCUGCUUGCCCUGAUGCCAGAACUUCAGUCUCUUCCUGGUGCUCUUCAAGCUGCCACCCUGGUGCUGGAGCUCAGAGGGAGUGAGUCUGAGUAGUUGCAUAAAAUAAAGCAAAAUAUGCUGAAAGUUUUGCUAUUUUCUUCCAUCUUCAAUAUUAAAAUGGCUACACAAAAAUUCAUCAAUUUCGGAGUUCCUUUGAGAAAAUUAUUUUCUUUAAAGAUGAAGUUCUUCAUGGGAUGAGACCUUAACUGACAGGAAGUCCUGAGUUCAC